AUCCAGUUGAUGAGCCCCAAAUAGGACGAAACGCACGUCAAACUGGAU
rfam:Schistosoma rodhaini strain Burundi genome assembly, scaffold: SROB_scaffold0000537